rnacentral:snRNA from 1 species
ACAGUUAUCAAGCAAGGGAGACACCAUGAUCACAUAAAUGGUUUUCCCAGGGCAAGACUUAUCUAUCACAUUCCAGAUGUGCUGACCCCUGUGGUUUCCCCAGAUUUGGGAAACUUGACUGCUUGAUUUUUGGUGGUGAGGGACUCUAU